CUGUAAGCCUGUGAAGGUGUGCUGUGAGGCAUGCUGGAGGUAUCAGAAGUGCGAAUGCUGACAUAAGUAACGAUAAAGCGGGUGAAAAGCCCGCUCGCCGGAAGACCAAGGGUUCCUGUCCAACGUUAAUCGGGGCAGGGUGAGUCGACCCCUAAGGCGAGGCCGAAAGGCGUAGUCGAUGGGAAACAGGUUAAUAUUCCUGUACUUGGUGUUACUGCGAAGGGGGGACGGAGAAGGCUAUGUUGGCCGGGCGACGGUUGUCCCGGUUUAAGCGUGUAGGCUGGUUUUCCAGGCAAAUCCGGAAAAUCAAGGCUGAGGCGUGAUGACGAGGCACUACGGUGCUGAAGCAACAAAUGCCCUGCUUCCAGGAAAAGCCUCUAAGCAUCAGGUAACAUCAAAUCGUACCCCAAACCGACACAGGUGGUCAGGUAGAGAAUACCAAGGCGCUUGAGAGAACUCGGGUGAAGGAACUAGGCAAAAUGGUGCCGUAACUUCGGGAGAAGGCACGCUGAUAUGUAGGUGAAGUCCCUCGCGGAUGGAGCUGAAAUCAGUCGAAGAUACCAGCUGGCUGCAACUGUUUAUUAAAAACACAGCACUGUGCAAACACGAAAGUGGACGUAUACGGUGUGACGCCUGCCCGGUGCCGGAAGGUUAAUUGAUGGGGUUAGCCGCAAGGCGAAGCUCUUGAUCGAAGCCCCGGUAAACGGCGGCCGUAACUAUAACGGUCCUAAGGUAGCGAAAUUCCUUGUCGGGUAAGUUCCGACCUGCACGAAUGGCGUAAUGAUGGCCAGGCUGUCUCCACCCGAGACUCAGUGAAAUUGAACUCGCUGUGAAGAUGCAGUGUACCCGCGGCAAGACGGAAAGACCCCGUGAACCUUUACUAUAGCUUGACACUGAACAUUGAGCCUUGAUGUGUAGGAUAGGUGGGAGGCUUGGAAGUGUGGACGCCAGUCUGCAUGGAGCCGACCUUGAAAUACCACCCUUUAAUGUUUGAUGUUCUAACGUUGACCCGUAAUCCGGGUUGCGGACAGUGUCUGGUGGGUAGUUUGACUGGGGCGGUCUCCUCCUAAAGAGUAACGGAGGAGCACGAAGGUUGGCUAAUCCUGGUCGGACAUCAGGAGGUUAGUGCAAUGGCAUAAGCCAGCUUGACUGCGAGCGUGACGGCGCGAGCAGGUGCGAAAGCAGGUCAUAGUGAUCCGGUGGUUCUGAAUGGAAGGGCCAUCGCUCAACGGAUAAAAGGUACUCCGGGGAUAACAGGCUGAUACCGCCCAAGAGUUCAUAUCGACGGCGGUGUUUGGCACCUCGAUGUCGGCUCAUCACAUCCUGGGGCUGAAGUAGGUCCCAAGGGUAUGGCUGUUCGCCAUUUAAAGUGGUACGCGAGCUGGGUUUAGAACGUCGUGAGACAGUUCGGUCCCUAUCUGCCGUGGGCGCUGGAGAACUGAGGGGGGCUGCUCCUAGUACGAGAGGACCGGAGUGGACGCAUCACUGGUGUUCGGGUUGUCAUGCCAAUGGCACUGCCCGGUAGCUAAAUGCGGAAGAGAUAAGUGCUGAAAGCAUCUAAGCACGAAACUUGCC
rnacentral:rRNA from 1 species